rnacentral:sRNA from 17 species
GCUAUCCACCAAACAGCAGACAAGAGUGGACAACCACUUCCAAGGCUGGAGAGAUAGCCAGCCUCAGUUACAAACUACGUUUCGAGGGUCAUGACACCUACAGGUGCUUUCCAGCUUGUAGCCCUGUC